rnacentral:tRNA from 1 species
UCCAGGGUAGCCUAGUGGAUAUGGCAUCUGCCCGGUAAGCGGAAGGUCGUGGGUUCGAUUCCCAUCCCUGGAC